rnacentral:rRNA from 1 species
GAUGAACGCUGGCGGCGUGCUUAAUACAUGCAAGUCGAGCGAACAGACGAGGCGCUUGCUCCUCUGACGUUAGCGGCGCACGGGUGAGAAACACGUGGAUAACCUACCUAUAAGACUGGGAUCACCUCGGGAAACCGGAGCUAAUACCGGAUAAUAUAUUGAACCGCAUGGUUCAAUAGUGAAAGACGGUGUUGCGGUCACUUAUAGAUGGAUCCGCGCCGCAUUAGCUAGUUGGUAAGGUAACGGCUUACGAAGGCUACCAUGCGUAGGCGACCUGAGAGAGUGAUAGGCCACACUGGAAGGGAGACGGGGUCCAGACGCCUACGGGAGGCAGCAGUAGGGAAUCUGCCGCAAUGGGCGAAAGCCUGACGGAGCAGCGCCGCGUGAGUGAUGGAGGUCUUCGGAUCGUAAAACUCUGUUAUUAGGGAAGAACAAAUGUGUAAGUAACUAUGCACGGCUUGACGGUACCUAGUCAGAAAGCCACGGCUAACUACGUG